ACCGACGACGGCGACUACGGCGUGAAGCUGCGCAACCUGACGCGCUUCCUCGAGGAAGGCGACAAGGCGAAGAUCACGCUGCGCUUCCGGGGCCGCGAAAUGGCUCACCAGGAAAUCGGCAUGCGGAUGCUUGAGCGCCUGCGGACCGAUCUGGAAGAGUACGGCCAGGUCGAGCAGAUGCCAAAGAUGGAAGGCCGGCAGAUGGUGAUGGUGAUGGGGCCGAAAAAGCGCAAGUAGGGCUGAACGGUCGUGCGCAAGAAUUCGACGGACAUCGAGCCGUCGAAACGGCAGCCGGAACGGCUGUCGCAAAUAAGUGCGAGA
rnacentral:misc_RNA from 1 species